UAUGGCCAACAGAAAUACGACAGCUCGUUAUUCUCUGGUGAGCGUCGUCAGCCACAUGGGCUCCAGUGCUGACAGUGGUCAUUACAUCUGCGACAGUAUCUACGGAAGGCCGGAUAUGGGGGAUUCAGCCAACCUUUGGCUAACAUAUAAUGACGAGCGUGUUAGCCAGACAACAGCAGAAGAUGUCUGUCGCCGAAGA